UUGAUAUCCUUUGAACCGUUCGUACAACUUGAGCUCGAAGAGCGGCAGCGCUCGUCUUCGCACGACACGUACCUACACUAGCCAGAUCGGUGGUGUGUGGUACACCAGCCAAUCCGCUUCCAUCCUGGAGAGCCCCAACAGAUCUGAGAACGGAGAAGGAGCGAGAGGGAGGAGAGAGAGACAGGGAGAGAGGGAGCUAUUGGCGACGGCGGCUGCUGCUGCUGCAAACGCUUUAGAUGCGAUUUGAUUUGAAAGGAAAGAUGAUGAACUCAAGCAAAAGCAAAUCAUCGAUGAGCCCCUUUCAAGGCCAAGGGUAACAGGUUAUGCUAUAAGUGAAAAAGACUGGUCACUUUGCAACUCUACUUUGUGGAUUCUUCCUCUCUCUACCACUGAAGCAUGGGAAAAUUGUGUUUCUGCCCACGUUUUCCAGUCAUUUGUUUCUGGUUAUUUUUAGAAAUUUCUUCCUGAUUGAAUUUUGGCCAACUGCUGCUUGGCUUCCUCUUACAGAAAAUCCCCCAUUGAAUCCUUGUCACCAUGCAAUGCAUAUUCAGUCUGCAAAACAUUACCUUCA